UGUGUGUCUGCAGCUCAACUAAUUUUCAGCUUCAUUAACUGAUCACAAAAAAACUGAAAACUGAUCCUUCCAUCAAUGCUCCUGUCACUAACUGUGAAGUGACCUUUGCUCCUAAGACUGUUGAGUGUUUUAUGCAAGAUCUCCAGCACUCACUGGGCGAUUCUUUAGAUGAUGAGGCAUCACCUCUUGGAACCUAAAGAGAUCCUCUUCUUUUUUCCUCGAACUGAAGCACACAACAAAGAUUCAGAAUCUCAUUUCAGAGAGGUGGAGGACAGAGAGACCCCGUCUGGUGAACACGGUUGCGAUACAAGAAAAUGUGGAAUUUGAAUAAUGCUUAAAAAUUAUACAAAGUCAUGUAAAAAUGUUUAUAAAAUCCAAACCCUGAUUAUUCACAUAAGGUUUACAUUAAAAUGGAAAUGUUUUUGGACUAUAUGAUCUAAGCAUGCGACUACUUGCCUUCCACCCCUUUAUUUGCCACAAUUUAUGCCACGGAUGUCUUUUUUUCAUUUGAAGAAAUGAAGAUGGCAGUACUGGGACUGUCCUGCCAAGCAUUUUUAAGAAUGCUGUAUCAGUGAACUGUCUGCUUUGGUAGUGUAAUUAUUUAAUUUAUUUAUCUUAUAGUAUUGUUAAUCUCUUUGUAUUGUGGGUUGAAAAGCUGUUUGAUGCUAAUGUAUUUGUUUAACAUUA